UACGAAGGGGGGCUAGCGUUGCUCGGAAUCACUGGGCGUAAAGCGCACGUAGGCGGCUUUCUAAGUCAGGGGUGAAAUCCUGGAGCUCAACUCCAGAACUGCCUUUGAUACUGGAGAGCUUGAGUCCGGAAGAGGUGAGUGGAACUGCGAGUGUAGAGGUGAAAUUCGUAGAUAUUCGCAAGAACACCAGUGGCGAAGGCGGCUCACUGGCCCGAUACUGACGCUGAGGCACGAAAGCGUGGGGAGCAAACAGG
rnacentral:rRNA from 1 species